GCCGGGAUAGCUCAGUGGUAGAGCAGGUGCUUCGUAAGCAUCAGGUCGAGAGUUCGAAUCUCUCUCCCGGCU
rnacentral:tRNA from 2 species